GCCACGUGCGUCUACUUUGUUGGUGGGACUUUUGAUGGGAUAUUUAUUGACGCCCGACUGGAUACAUCGUCAAGUAUGUUUUUCCCUGGCAGAGCGAGGCAGAGUUCCCGUGAGCCGAUGGGUUUGCCGAGCAGCAGCAGCAGCAGCAGCAAUGUGGUUGACCAUGAAUUGGCUGCCACAGUUAUUAGGACCGGUUUGACGGUUCGGUGGGUUCUCGCAUCUUUUUUUUAUCUUCUUUACUGCACAUGCUUCCUUCCCAGCGACCGACCGCAUUGACAUGUGACCUUCGAAACUGGCACUAAAUCUACAAUGUUUGGGAAGGCGUGCCGGGCGAGCGCAUCGUUCGUCAGUCAAUCAACCGAUGAUAGAUGAUAAUGGGUGAUGAUCUAGUCGUAAAAGCUCAUCCCUCCGGGUUGAUAGUAGUGCCAGGACGCGAGGAAAUUGCGAGUAUAAAAUGGUAACAAGGGAGCAUUUAAAAAUGGGCGCACUUCCAUCUCUUUGCCAAUCGGUAUAAUCCUACCUCGUUCUCCCAUCACCUUCUCUCCCAAAAACUCAUCCAAUUCUUACGAUGUACUGGGCGCCUCCAUCCCCGAUUCGACAUCAUUCGCGAACCGCCAAAACCACCAAGCCAGUGACAUAUGUAAGCCGUAGCGCGGGCAUAACACAAAGUAUGAAACGCGGAAACAAUUGCUGACACAUCAGAACAGUUCUACACGCUGGUGAGGUGCAAUAUCGGGCUGCUCUCGGCAAAAAUGUUGUCCCCUUUUUCCUUUACGAGCAGCAACGAUUGGAUGACAACGCAAGGCAAGACGACGACGGGGAGACGACUAGAACACCAAACGGAUGAUGAGCUUUGUUCUGGACCAUUUCACUCAAUCUUCAUUAUGAUAAUAACACGCUAUCUGCCGGCAGUUCAGCAAAAUUAAGUUGUACUAGUUGGACAAGCAAAAACAAAAGAAAUCUGAGAUGCUACUUUUGCCCCACAGUGAGGCAAGGGCAAAAUGUUCAGUUUGUAUUCUUAUUUGACAAUGUGAACAGCAGCAUCAUCGUCACAAGCGCGCACGAUAAUUGUCACCAAAGUUUUCCAAUCUAAAGUCUCUAGGUUUAGAAAAUUUGAAAAGUGAUUGUAAUUAGUCCUCAGCUUGAAAUGGGGAAAAAAGAACUUUAAAAUAUUUCAAAUGGCGUUGGUAGCGUAUUUCUAUCCAAAACAGUUCGAAUGUUUAGAACUUUUAAUUAAAGAAGAUCCCCUCCAUUUAACGUGUUACACUCACAAAGCGAUCAAAGGGCGUACCAUUAUUGCUACAAAAAAAAAAGCUCAAAGGAAGCAUGUCACCGAAGGCCUGCAUUAUGAAUGGUUUAUUCCUUCCGGAUAUUUGUCCCGUUUUCGAGUGUGUUUCCCUUGUGCAAAUAGAACUUCCUGGCAGCCGCCGUAGUGAAGCGUGGCCGUUUGCUAAACGGCUAGCAGUAGCAUAAGCAUUCUGCAAUGGAGGACAAAACACAUCACUCUAUGUGAUGUCUGGAAUCUGCAGAAUUUUCCGAACCAGAAAAAAAAAUCUAGACUUCAAGAAAAUCCAGAAGUUCAUGAGACAAAAAUUUAAAUUAUUUAGUAUAAAAUUCAAGAACCAAUCUAACAGGUGGAUUGAGUUUGAGGAGUUUGUUUUCGGCAAAAUUCAAUUUUACUACCUAAUAUCGCUGACUUCAAGAGCAUUUUUACACUACGAUUUUACUUUUAUCACAAAAUAGGCCUUCGAACAUAAAUGUCAACUAAAAAAACUAACUAAACUCUUCUAUAAAA